rnacentral:rRNA from 1 species
AGCAGUAGCCGCGGUAAUACGGAGGGUGCGAGCGUUAAUCGGAAUUACUGGGCGUAAAGCGUACGCAGGCGGUUUGUUAAGUCAGAUGUGAAAUCCCCGAGCUUAACUUGGGAACUGCAUUUGAAACUGGCAAGCUAGAGUCCUGUAGAGGGGGGUAGAAUUCCAGGUGUAGCGGCGAAAUGCGUAGAGAUCUGGAGGAAUACCGAUGGCGAAGGCAGCCCCCUGGGAUAACACUGACGCUCAUGCACGAAAGCGUGGGGAGCAAACAGGAUUAGAUACCCGUGUAGUCCCUGUCUCUUAUAC